rnacentral:rRNA from 1 species
GACGAACGCUGGCGGCGUGCUUAACACAUGCAAGUAGAACGGAAAGGCCCUGCUUUUGUGGGGUGCUCGAGUGGCGAACGGGUGAGUAACACGUGAGUAACCUGCCCUUGACUUUGGGAUAACUUCAGGAAACUGGGGCUAAUACCGGAUAGGAGCUCCUGCUGCAUGGUGGGGGUUGGAAAGUUUCGGCGGUUGGGGAUGGACUCGCGGCUUAUCAGCUUGUUGGUGGGGUAGUGGCUUACCAAGGCUUUGACGGGUAGCCGGCCUGCGAGGGUGACCGGCCACAUUGGGACUGAGAUACGGCCCAGACUCCUACGGGAGGCAGCAGUGGGGAAUAUUGCACAAUGGGCGGAAGCCUGAUGCAGCAACGCCGCGUGCGGGAUGACGGCCUUCGGGUUGUAAACCGCUUUCGCCUGUGACGAAGCGUGAGUGACGGUAAUGGGUAAAGAAGCACCGGCUAACUACGUG